CCGUGCUAGAUGGGGAGCUAGCGGUGCCCUGUUGCCCACAAUCCGCUACAGUGGGGUCGAAUUCCCUGUCGAGGCUGCGCUUUUUCUGGACAGUGUCUGUGUAAGUGGUGUUGACGGUUUGGGCCCUGCGCAAAGGGCUCUUUGUGAAUCCCGUCAGGACCGGGAGGUAGCAGCGGUAACAAAGGUGUCUCUUGUGCUGCAGGACAGCCUGGCCUGAGCUAACUGCAUGGAUAACGCAGGGGGAGUUCAGUCGGAGCAGGGUGCACGG
rnacentral:SRP_RNA from 1 species